CUGCCACUGCUGCCAGUUCAGAUUUUAUCUCGUCUAAAUUGGCCUUUAAGCUGGUGUGUAGCAAAGAGACCGUAAUCAAAUCUUUGUCAGGAUUUUUUAUACCCUCUGACUCCAUACUUUCUGAGCUGAGGUCCAUUUCAUUCAUCUUCUGUUUAAGGGUCUUAUGUUGCUGAGGAGAGAAGUAAGUAGUUAAAGAUGUAUCCUGUAUCUUUUCCUGUACAGAGUCUUUUUUAUCCUUACUCACAGAGGAUUUUGUUUUGUGUGAUUUUUUCGUGGCCAUAAUAUAGU